AGAAGACAAAUGGACACGAAACAACGCCCAUCUGCAGUUUGCUUCAACUGCCAAGCGCUGACCACCGAGCAAUACUGCCUUUCAUCUAAACUGAAGAUCUCCUGACGUGGACGGAAUCACUGGACUCAACAGCCUAGCUGCUGAGGUCAAGAUGCCUUCAACGUGUGUCAACUUGUCAAAAAAUUAACCAGCAUUAGUGACCCGAGAGUAACCAUGGAGAGCUUGACCUGCCUUAUACAUCUGAAAACAUGACUUAAGGUCGUCCCACAUCCUGACCAGGCAGUUUCCCAACAGGGAGGGAACCUCCAGCCUCCAGUUCCAGGUGUCCAUGGCUGGGUUGAGGGACCCGGUCGAUGUGGAGUCGAGGAAAGGCAUCCUCUGACCCUUGCAGGUGCCUCUGGGCUUCCAUCACUGCUGACUGGAAAUGGUCCGCAGUGGAAGUGGGGAUGCCCCAUGUGCAGCUACGAACUGAAGGGCACUUCUCAAAGAGGCAGUACCCCUGCCCCUCCGUGAGAAGCCCAUGGAGAACCCAAGUGUCAACAUCCGGUGGAUCCAAUCUCUUUGCAGUGUGUGCAAAGGGGCACGUGCUCUGGUUCUGAAGUCCGGGGGGAAGGAAACCUGAGCAAAAAUACGGGGGUUCUGAAACUCCAUGCAGGGUGCCAAGGCAUGCUCAGCUGCUUCCACUUACUCCCACUCCGGCCCCACCUCCAAUUGGCAGCAUGGCCCAUCUGCAGUCAGAGGUACCUUGUGGUACUGUGGGGCAGAGGCAAAACCAUCCCUGGGUCCUGUUUCAGGGACUCCUGCCAACGUUCAUGGCUUUCUGAUUCCUCUCGAGGUCAUCAGCAGUGCAAUGGAAGAAAGAAAGCAUCUUUAACAAAUGGUGCUGGCAUAACUGGAUAUCAACAUGUAGAAGAAUGAAAAUAGACCCAUAUCUAUC